AGGUGAUUGUUCCUGCAUCAUCUCACUGACUGACUGACCAGUUUCUGUACUCAGCUGAUUUUCUAACUUUUCCUUUUUUUUUCAGUGUAGUCCUAUCAAAGAAGGAUACCCCAUCCUAUUUCAAAGUCAGUGAUCCAAAGUGGAAAUAUAACAAGUUUAUUCUUUACCUGUGCUCACAUUGUUCUUCAGCCUGGACAACAAACAAUACUAAUUACAUAGGAAGUAAAAAUCAACCACUUCUAAUUUACUAAAUUUGCAUUUAAUGCAAA